rnacentral:lncRNA from 1 species
UCUGCGUGAUGGAUCUUGCCCUUCUUUUUGGGCUAAAUGCAAAUCGAAAAGCGGUGCGAUGGAAGUUGAAGAAAGAAAUAAAACCGAGAAUCACGUCUCGAGCCCCAGCUCGGGGGGAAUUUCGUUCCUCGGGAAAUAAGAGGAGGUUUGGGGAGCACAAUCUGCAGCCGCAUGCUGCUGAAAAAGAAAACGGCAGCAAUUAUUCGGCAUUCAUGGGCUGCAUACUGGCGGGGCUUUUGUGGGAGCAACACGGUGUACUCCAGACAGAGGAAGAGCUCUUCCUGGCACUGCGCACCUCCGAUGAAGCCCAUUGUGGGGUUUAUAUCAACUAGUGUUCGGAAAACAUCUUCACUCAUCUCCCCGAGCAGCCGCCUGAGCAGGAAGAGGUGCCUGUUCGAGGAGGAGCUUUCAUUUUGCCAUGUUAAUUAGAACCGAUGAAGAAGCAAGUAAUCCAAAGAUGUAUGAAGACAUCUGUUUUUUUAAUAAAAUUCUAUUUUGGUGCAAAU